rnacentral:rRNA from 1 species
UACGUAGGGUGCGAGCGUUGUCCGGAAUUAUUGGGCGUAAAGAGCUCGUAGGCGGUCUGUCGCGUCGGCUGUGAAAACCCGGGGCUCAACCCCGGGCCUGCAGUCGAUACGGGCAGACUAGAGUGCGGUAGGGGAGACUGGAAUUCCUGGUGUAGCGGUGAAAUGCGCAGAUAUCAGGAGGAACACCGGUGGCGAAGGCGGGUCUCUGGGCAUUAACUGACGCUGAGGAGCGAAAGCAUGGGGAGCGAACAGG